GGACUGGAUCUGCCUCGGAUGACGCUGGCGGCGUGCUUAACACAUGCAAGUCGAGCGAUGAAGUUUCCUUCGGGAAACGGAUUAGCGGCGGACGGGUGAGUAACACGUGGGUAACCUGCCUCAUAGAGUGGAAUAGCCUUCCGAAAGGAAGAUUAAUACCGCAUAAUGUUGAAAGAUGGCAUCAUCAUUCAACCAAAGGAGCAAUCCGCUAUGAGAUGGACCCGCGGCGCAUUAGCUAGUUGGUGGGGUAACGGCCUACCAAGGCGACGAUGCGUAGCCGACCUGAGAGGGUGAUCGGCCACAUUGGGACUGAGACACGGCCCAGACUCCUACGGGAGGCAGCAGUGGGGAAUAUUGCACAAUGGGGGAAACCCUGAUGCAGCAACGCCGCGUGAGUGAUGAAGGUUUUCGGAUCGUAAAGCUCUGUCUUUGGGGAAGAUAAUGACGGUACCCAAGGAGGAAGCCACGGCUAACUACGUGCCAGCCGCCGCGGUAAU
rnacentral:rRNA from 1 species